AUGGCACCCUACAGACUUGCAGCUUUUGGAUUCAGGGGGGAAAUCAAACUACACAACACGUAUUAUGGACCCUUUCUAGUAAUUCAAAUAGUGGGCAGAGCAGUUUACAAGCUACAGUUUCCUUCACAUGUGAAAAUUAAUCCAGUUUUUCAUGUUAGCCAGCUCAAGAAACAUAUUGGAAGCAAAGCAAUUCCUCCCAGUCUGCCAAUGGUGAAUGAGGAUAGCACUGUCAAAACAGGACCAGUGGCAGUGUUACAAGUCAGACAAGUGCCUAGGAACAGUCUUCCGGUUGUGCAGUGGUACAUCAAGUGGGAAAACCUCACUCCAACCGAAGCAACAUGGGAAGAUGCUGAUUUUAUCAAGUAUACAUUCCCGGAGUUCUUCAAGGCAACAUUUCAAUCAUGA
rnacentral:rRNA from 1 species